AGCAGCCGCGGUAAUUCCAGCUCCAAUAGCGUAUAUUAAAGUUGUUGCAGUUAAAAAGCUCGUAGUUGAAUUUCGGGGUCAGUAGGUUGGUCGUGCCACUGGUAUGUACUGGCCUCACUGAUUCCUCCUUCUUGUAGAACCGUAAUGCCAUUAAUUUGGUGUUGCGGGGAAACAGGACUGUUACUUUGAAAAAAUUAGAGUGUUUAAAGCAGGCUAACGCUUGAAUACAUUAGCAUGGAAUAAUGAAAUAGGACGUUCGAUCCUAUUUUGUUGGUUUCUAGGAUUGACGUAAUGAUUAAUAGGGAUAGUUGGGGGCAUUAGUAUUCAAUUGUCAGAGGUGAAAUUCUUGGAUUUAUUGAAGACUAACUACUGCGAAAGCAUUUGCCAAGGAUGUUUUCAUUAAUCAAGAACGAAGGUUAGGGGAUCGAAGACGAUCAGAUACCGUCGUAGUCUUAACCAUAAACUAUGCCGACUAGGGAUCGGAUGAUGUUAAUUUUUAAUGACUCAUUCGGCGCCUUAC
rnacentral:rRNA from 1 species